rnacentral:ncRNA from 2 species
UUAAGCAAGUCUUUUUACCUUUACUGGAC